UUUAGAUUUAUAAUUUAAUUUUUUUUACAUAUGUUAUUUUUUAAUUUUUAAUUUUGGCAAACCGCAAACCCAAAAAAAUAAUUUGAAUUGGUUUGGUUUAGAAAUUGAAGUGAUUUGGUUGAUUUAAAAAAAAUUUCAAACCGCAUUAAACGAUUUGGUUUGAAAAUUUGUCACAAAUCGUUCAAAUCAUAUUGUGUUCACCCCUAUUGAUUACCAUUCAUUAGCUUUAAUUUCAGCGGAAGGUUAGAGAACCACUCCUCUGAUACACUAUUUUUUGACCACGCAUUUAAAAAAAAAAUAAAAUCAAAUUAUUGCUUUUCAUUUUUUUUUUUAUUAAUUUUUGGUCAAACAAGGGCGUAAUUAUUCCGUGUGGAAUGUAUCCAUGUUUGGCCAUUUAAGUAGUUAGAAUUUUGAAACUUUUUUCACGUUGUACUUUGUUUUUUCCUUCCUUUUUUGAUAAACGGCAUAUUCAUCUUUUUUUAGCUAUUAGGAGAAAUUUUUGACAUCCAGUAAACAUCAAUAGUUUGUUUAGCAUGCUAACUAGACUCGAUCAAUUAUCACAUCAGUUAACAAAUUGUCACAUACUCUUUUCAUUUAAUAAUGUCUAGUGCAAUGUAUACCAACCAUACUUUACAAAUGAUAUAUCGUCUUGCUCAAUCUUAUCCACUGUGCUCAUAAAUUUAGUUCUCAUACUGAUAGAUAACCGAAAAGAAAAAGGUGUACAUAACUAAUUACAAUUAUUUCAUCCUCUCAGCUGCAUUUUUUGAUAUUUCCCAUUAAUAUUUAAAUUUGUUACAUGAUGUUUUCCAUUAGUUUUUUGAUAUUUUCCAUAAAUAUUAAUUUGACGAUAUAAACUCAUAGUAAUUUGCUUGAUAUUCUAAAUAUAGUAGUAUUUAUAAAUGACUUUUAUAUCCGUAGCUCUGGUCAUUAUAACUGUUAUAUCACUUGUAGUCCUACUUCCUAACUAAAAUAAAAGAGGCAUUUGCUGUGGCACUGUUUUUAUGGAGUCGUGCUUAGUUAUUGUUUGCCUUUUUUUAAACGUUGUACUAUUUUAUUAACUUUCACAAACAACCAUCAUUUUCGUUUCUCUUUCUUCUCUUUAUUGACUUUCACAUGCAACCAUCAUUCCAUUUCUCUUUCUUCUCUCGUCUUUUUUUAUUUUUUCAGACAACUAUCCACGCUCCUUACUCCACUUCUCCACACAAACCAAGAUUUUUUUUUCUUCUUUCUCUCCUCUCCAUUUUAAGAAUUUUCUAAUAAAAAAUUAAUUAGUCAUUUUUUNCCAACUCUAAAACUCAUUAAGUAACAACAAAGACAAAACUUGACUAAUUAUCAUCAUAUCUUUUCUACCCAUGUUAGUUCAUGGUUUGUUAAGUAAAGUCAUAAUUUAUCAUUAGUUCUGCAGUUUGAUUCUACCGCAUUUUAGAUCUGUCUUUAAUUCUAUAUUUAAUAUCUAUAUAUGUAGAAUUCAC
rnacentral:lncRNA from 1 species